rnacentral:rRNA from 1 species
GACAGAGGGUGCAAACGUUGUUCGGAAUUACUGGGCGUAAAGCGCGUGUAGGCGGCCCUGCAAGUCGGAUGUGAAAUCCCACGGCUCAACCGUGGAAGUGCAUUCGAAACUGCAGGGCUAGAGUCCUGGAGAGGAAGGUGGAAUGCUUGGUGUAGAGGUGAAAUUCGUAGAUAUCAGGAAGAACACCUAUGGCGAAGGCAGCUCUCUGGGACGGUACUGACGCUGAGACGCGAAAGCGUGGGGAGCGAACAGG